rnacentral:lncRNA from 1 species
GUGAUAAUAGGUGGAGCAGCGAGAGAACGGCGUCGUCGGAUUGUGGAGGGAAGAAAAGCAAGGAAGAGGGUGACGUGGCGGAGGAGCUGAAGAAAGCCUUGAAAGGAGCUUCUUGAUGGUAUUUGGUUAAGCUCUAAGCUCUAUGAUCUUGAGAGAGGAUAAAGCAUUUAUUCGAAUUGUACUAGAUUUUGUCUUCUUAGUUUAUCUUAUGGCUUUUGUAUAUAAUGCGUUAAGUUGCCGCUGGAUAUUGGAAAGAUUUUCAGAACUUGUUUUGGGAUAAUUCAAUGCAAUUGUAAG